GAUGAACGCUGGCGGCGUGCUUAACACAUGCAAGUCGAGCGAGUGAGUUCUUCGGAACAAUCUAGCGGCGGACGGGUGAGUAACACGUGGCAACCUGCCUCAUAGAGGGGAAUAGCCUCCCGAAAGGGAGAUUAAUACCGCAUAAAAUUAUCGAGUGGCAUCACAUGAUAAUCAAAGGAGUAAUCCGCUAUGAGAUGGGCCCGCGGCGCAUUAGCUAGUUGGUGAGGUAACGGCUCACCAAGGCGACGAUGCGUAGCCGACCUGAGAGGGUGAUCGGCCACAUUGGGACUGAGACACGGCCCAGACUCCUACGGGAGGCAGCAGUGGGGAAUAUUGCACAAUGGGGGAAACCCUGAUGCAGCAACGCCGCGUGAGUGAUGAAGGACUUCGGAUUGUAAAGCUCUGUCUUUGGGGACGAUAAUGACGGUACCCAAGGAGGAAGCCACGGCUAACUACGUGCCAGCCGCCGCGGUAA
rnacentral:rRNA from 1 species